rnacentral:rRNA from 1 species
AGCGGCACGCGGACCGCGGCGGACGGGUGAGUAACACGUAGGCAACCUGCCUGUAAGUCUGGGAUAACUAACGGAAACGUUAGCUAAUACCGGAUAAGUGGAAGGAAGGCAUCUUCUUUCCUGGAAAGGCGGAGCAAUCUGCCACUUACGGAUGGGCCUGCGGCGCAUUAGCUAGUUGGCGGGGUAACGGCCCACCAAGGCGACGAUGCGUAGCCGACCUGAGAGGGUGAUCGGCCACACUGGGACUGAGACACGGCCCAGACUCCUACGGGAGGCAGCAGUAGGGAAUCUUCCGCAAUGGGCGAAAGCCUGACGGAGCAACGCCGCGUGAGUGAUGAAGGUUUUCGGAUCGUAAAGCUCUGUUGCCAGAGAAGAAUGAUGUGGAGAGUAACUGCUCUGCAUAUGACGGUAUCUGAGAAGAAAGCCCCGGCUAACUACGUGCCAGCAGCCGCGGCAAUACGUAGGGGGCAAGCGUUGUCGCGAUUAUUGGGCGUAAGGGGGGGCGGGCGGGGGGUUAUUGGGGGGUUUGGCCCGGAGCUCACUUCCGUUGAAAUGAAACUGGUGGGGAGUGCGAGGGAGGAAUUGAUUCCCCUUCACCGGGGAAGGGCAAAUAGUGGAAGGAAAACAAGGGCCAGGCACUUCGGGGCCUGUCACUUAACCUUAAGGUUUAAAGCUUGGGGAGGAAUAAGAUUUAAUCCCUCGGGUUUCCCCGCGAAAUUUUAGAUGCGAAGGGGGUAGGGUUUCCCAACCCCCUAGCCCCCCAUUAAACCCCCCCCCCCUCCCUCUGGGGAAAAAAUUCUAAAAAAGAAAUC